GGAACGCGGGCGCCCCGAGGUGAGGCCGCGGCGUUGACCUGGGAGGGGUUGGGUGUUAGGGUCGGAGAUCUCGAGCGCGAACGGCUUCCUCGGAACCGGUGGCGGCCGAGCGCAGCCCUGGUGGAGUGGGACGCGGCUCGGGGACCUGACUUGGGAGCUCUCUGGGGUCGAGGAGGAGUCUGUUGUGGCCACUGCAGGAGCAGCCCCUGGCCACAUGUGUCUGUUGAGCUCCUGUAAUAUGACUUCCUGAAUUGCGAUGUGCUGACUACAAAUGCACGCUGGAUUUUGAAGGCUUAAUAUGAAAAAAAAGAUGGCUGUGAUAAAAAAAAAAGAAUAACAAAUAUUGGCAGGCUUGUGGAGAAACUGGAACAUCCAUGCAGAUGGUGCAGUCACUUUGAGAAAAAAGUUGAAAGGUUACCAUUGAGCUACCACAUGGCCCAGUAAUUCCGCUCCUAGGUGACUGAAGCUUGCAGAGGGGAUGCCACCUGUCCAGGUGCCUGGAACGGGUGGCAGGUCGAAUGAUGGCUCCCCAAAGAGAUGUUCGCAUCCAUGUCCCCAGAACCUGUGAAUGUGGCCUCAAUUGGAAAUAGAGUCUUGCAGCUGUAAGCAAGCUGAAGAGCAUCUGGUUGUCUCCAGUUUGGGAUGACUAGGAAUCAUGCUGCCGUGGACACGUGUGUGCAGGCUCUUGUGUGGACAGAAGACUUAAUUCCUUUUGGGUUAAUACCCAGCAGUCGAGCAGCUCCAUCACCCGGCAACCCUAUGUUGAGUAUUUUGAGGAACCGCCAAGCUGUCUUCAGUGGCCACAUCCCCACCAGCAACAUCUGAGGAUUCCCGGUGCUCUGUGCGCUCACCAGCACUUGGAUUUGUCCAUUGUUUUUGGUUCUAGUUUUGCCAUUCAGAUAGGUGGCACAUUAUAUUUAGAUGCAGCAAAACACACGCGUGCUCACAUGCACGCACGUGCGCUAAAAUGCACCCCCCUGGAGGAAAAGGCGGAUGUUCAGAUACGCGCUAAACAAAGAGUAAAAUGUUAAUCAUGGGAACUUGGUAUUGGGUCUUUAACCACCAAAUCCUUCCAGCUCUUCAAUGCAUUUGAAUAUAUUCAUAAUAAAAGGUUGGAAAAAAUAAUCCAAGGGUGGACUAGAGAUAAAACAAGACGAGCGUGGGGCUGGUACUGGUUGAGGCUUGGGGAAGAGGUGGCAGGGCUUGGAGAGGCUGUUCCACUUUCUUCUGUUCCAUGUGUUGGAGAUACUCUGUGAUAGAGUCAGAAAACAGUCAUGCGGCUCCGCCAGCAGUCACAGUCGCUGCACGAGCCCGGAGGCCUGCCGUCAGGCAGCCACCAGGAGACAUGGGGAUACACGUCUACACGGAGACCCACACACACGUCCACAGCAGCCAAAAGGUGGACACAAACCUAGUGUCCAUCCACGGACACAUGUGUCCCUCCACACGUGGGAGCAUCACUCAGCCGUGAACAGGAGAGCAGCCCUGACACCCGCUCCCACGGGGCCGGACCCUGAGAACACGGUGCUCAGGGAGAGAAGCAGACACAGAAGGACACACAGUGUGUGACUCCACUCACAGGAGGUCCCUACAGUUAGAAUGGUGAAUUUUGUUAUGUGUUAUGUCCUUUAAUGUUACGUUACCCUGGAAUUUUUCUAACAAUGAGGAAGUCCAGGAAACAGGCUGGGGUCUUGGUGGGAUCAAACGGUCAGUCCCCCCACAGGCAGUGUGGCCACGUCUUCUGAAAUGACGAAGGGCUGGAUCGCUGCCAGGGGUUGCUCCGUGACUACUUGCCCAUGUCGGGGACCACGUGGCUGCCCCUGGCACGGGAAGCCAGGCGGAAACACCCUGGGAGUGCCCUAGAGAAGGGAGUAAGCCAACCGCAGCACAUCCCAACCACGGAAUACCGUGCAGUCCCGCGAAAGAACAGGCGCCCCAUAUGAGCUUGUGUGCCGUGAACUCGGGCAGACGUGAGGUGCAAAGGCAGGAGGUUCACAUGCUGCAGCCUGGGUGGCAAGCAGGAUGGGAGUGGGGGGUCGGUCGGCAGAGACUCCUCUGGAAGGAUGCCCUGGGGAACUGUGGGAGGGAGAUGUUACUCUGGGCACAUAGACAUAACAUAAAAUUGACUGUCUUAACCGUUUGUAAGUGCACAGCUCAGUGGCAUUAAGCACAUUCACACUGGUGUGCAACCAUCCCCACUACCAUCUCCAGAAUUUUCUCAUCUUCCCAAACUGAAAGUCUGUCUCCAUGAAACACUGACUCCCCAGCCCCAGCCCCACCAUCUACUCUCAGUGUCUAUGGAUGUGACUCCUCCAGGGACCUCCUGUGAGUGGAAUCAGACAGUGUGUGUCCUUCUGGGUCUGGUUCUCUCCCUGAGCAUCAUGUCCCCAACAUGGUCCACCCACGUUGGAGCAGGUGCCAGAAUCUCCUUCUUCUUCAGGCUGAGUAGCAUUCCACCAUGUGGAUGGACCACAUUUGUUUAUCCACCGUCUGUCGAUGGACAUGUGGGUCAUUUCCACCGUUGGCUACUGUGAAUAUGAUACUGUGAAUGUCCACGCGUGGGGAGGCAGGUACUUGAUCGGGUCUCGGCUUCCAGGUCUUGUGUGCACACCUGGGAGUCGAGCUGCUGGGACAGGUGGGGAUUCUGUAUAACUUUUGUAGGAGCUUCCAGGCCCUUCCGUGGCAGCCACCCUCUGGCUGUACUUUUGACUUUUUAGUUUUAAAGAAGGGAAGGAACUAAAUUUAAGUCAUCACAGAGAAACAAAUCAGCAAGUUUUAGACCGUGGGAAACUUAACAGGAAAAACGACCAGGUUUCAUGAAAAAUGAAAAAAAAAAAAAAGCAAAGAACAAAAAUCCCCACCAAACCACAGGAAAAAAAAUUAGAGAGAGACUUGAAGCUGGAAAUGAAGACACAAGUGACAUCGGUUACACUUUCUCAAUUCAUCCGUCCAUCACUGGGCCCGUGGGCCACCAGGCUGGACUGGGUGAUGAGGGUCAGCGUCAGCUGGGACACCGUGGGCACCAGAAACCCUCGAGUGAGUGAGUGCGUGCGGCGACGAAGGGGAGAAAGCUUCCCAGUGCCGUGUGUGUCUGCUCCGGACCCCUCAGGACCCUGGGUUCCCACCUCCAGCGCCGGGGUCCUGGGCCUACCUUAGGCCUCAGGGGCCCACCUGUGAGAUGGGCCACUCACUCCAACUCAGGGUCCCUGGGGGGCUGGGGAAACCCUCUCAGGAGGGGAAGGGCAGACAGCCAGCCCAGCGGAAGCAGGGGCCCCGGCCCCGGAGGCCGCCGCCCCCUGCCUGGUGCUCUCUGCUGCUCCCUCCUGGCCUGAGUGGCGGGGUUGGUGGAGGCUUUGGGCAGUGCUUACCAGAAUCAAAUGCCUGGGAGGGAGCGCACCGGUCAGCAGCCCCCACCCCAGGAACGUUGGCUCGUUGCUCAGCUGGGCCUUGGGAACCAGAGGGACGUGGGGGCAAGCUUGCCAUGCAGCUAGGACGGCACAGGACUGAAAUUCUGGGACAUCGCUGGGCAUGAGUCCCCAUGCUACUGUUGGGGAAACCGAGGCUCAGGGGAACGCUGGAUCGGGGGGCAUGAAGGGCCCACCACCCAGUGCGACCCAGCUGUGCGUGGCAGCCUGGAGCAUGUGGCCUGGGCUGGUGGUCACUUUGCUGCAGCUCUGCCAUCCUCUCGUCUUCCAUCUCACCCAGGGCCUUUGCACCUGCUCUUCCCUGAGUGGCCAUGUAACUCCCUCCUUCACUCAUUCAGGUUGUGGCUUCAGGUCACUUCCUUAGAAGCUCCUCCCCGGCCCUUGUGGCUAAGCCCCACCCCGACACGUGCGCAUGUGCGUGCGCGCACGCACACACACGCAUGUGCCCCCCCCACAGUGGCCCCAUCAACCCAGGCUGCAGGAUCCUGCAAGGGUCUGCGCGCUGUGGUUCUAACGCAUCAGCAUGAGGGGGUGUGGAGUAUUUACACGACUGCCUUCUCCACCUUCUCCCUGGGGAAGCUGGAGGUCCCCUGCCACAGGCCACCCUCAGAGCGAUGGUGACAAUCAUAGUUGGCAUAUGCUGGUCAGAGGUUCAUCUCUUGCUGGCCUGGAGGCUAAUGUCCUUUCUCCUUCUCACCAUCCUCCAUUUGCCAGCGGAGAUGCUGGGCUCAGAGAGGUUUCUGCAUCCUGGCCCACAGACGUGUGGCCAUGGAGAACAGGGUCAGCCACCCACUCUGUCACAGGCCAGGGAACAAACACGUUCAGCUUUGUGGCUGUAUGGACUCUCCCAACUGCUCAGCUCUGCCUGCUGUGUCUCCAGAGUAGCCACAGAUGGUGCUUAAAGGAAUGUGUGUGGCUGUGCUAACAAAACUUGAUGAAUGGACACCAAAAUGUGAAUUUCAUAUCAUUUUCAUGUGUCACAAAAUGAGGUGUUUUCUGAUUGUUUCGUCACUCACUUAAAAUGGAAACGUCAUUCUUGGCUGGAUGCCGUCCUCAUGCAGGCGAGCUUGUGGGCCAGUCUGCAGGGCCCUCAAGGCAGUGUCACU